AGGCGCUAUGUAUCUUUAAGCCCUUUUAAGGCAUGGGUCGCAGGUUCGAAUCCUGCCGCGCUCACCA
rnacentral:tRNA from 1 species